rnacentral:rRNA from 1 species
UACGUAGGAGGCAAGCGUUGUCCGGAAUUACUGGGCGUAAAGCGCGUGUAGGUGGUGGGACAAGUCUGCUGUGAAAGCGCCUGGCUUAACCGGGCGAGGUCGGCGGAAACUGUUCGACUCGAGGACGGUAGAGGGGGGUGGAAUUCCCGGUGUAGUGGUGAAAUGCGUAGAGAUCGGGAGGAACACCUGUGGCGAAGGCGGCCCCCCUGGGCCGGCCCUGACACUGAGACGCGAAGGCGUGGGGGAGCGAACGGG